GUGUCCGUAAAAAGGAGAGAUGGUUGGCAUCUUGCCUUACAAGGAUAUGGAAAUAACCUUUGGGUUUUACUUUUUUCACAUAAUCUUCAACUGUAUCUCCUCUCAAAAAUCUGUCUCGACAUAAAGAAUCUCUUUGA
rnacentral:ncRNA from 1 species